rnacentral:rRNA from 1 species
GGUUAAGCGACUAAGCGUACACGGUGGAUGCCCUGGCAGUCAGAGGCGAUGAAGGACGUGCUAAUCUGCGAAAAGCGACGGCGAGGUGAUAUGAACCCUUGACCCGUCGAUGUCCGAAUGGGGAAACCCAGUGUGAUUCGUCACACUAUCGUUAACUGAAUACAUAGGUUAACGAGGCGAACCGGGGGAACUGAAACAUCUAAGUACCCCGAGGAAAAGAAAUCAACCGAGAUUCCCCCAGUAGCGGCGAGCGAACGGGGAGCAGCCCGGAGUCUGAAUCAGCUUGUGUGUUAGUGGAAGCGUCUGGAAAGUCGCACGGUACAGGGUGACAGUCCCGUACACGAAAAUGCACAGGUUGUGAACUCGAAGAGUAGGGCGGGACACGUGGUAUCCUGUCUGAAUAUGGGGGGACCAUCCUCCAAGGCUAAAUACUCCUGACUGACCGAUAGUGAACCAGUACCGUGAGGGAAAGGCGAAAAGAACCCCGGCGAGGGGAGUGAAAAAGAACCUGAAACCGUGUACGUACAAGCAGUGGGAGCACCUUCGGGUGUGACUGCGUACCUUUUGUAUAAUGGGUCAGCGACUUAUAUUCUGUAGCAAGGUUAACCGUAUAGGGGAGCCGCAGGGAAACCGAGUCUUAACUGGGCGUUAAGUUGCAGGGUAUAGACCCGAAACCCGGUGAUCUAGCCAUGGGCAGGUUGAAGGUUGGGUAACACUAACUGGAGGACCGAACCGACUAAUGUUGAAAAAUUAGCGGAUGACCUGUGGCUGGGGGUGAAAGGCCAAUCAAACCGGGAGAUAGCUGGUUCUCCCCGAAAGCUAUUUAGGUAGCGCCUCGUGAACUCAUCUUCGGGGGUAGAGCACUGUUUCGGCUAGGGGGCCAUCCCGGCUUACCAACCCGAUGCAAACUACGAAUACCGAAGAAUGUUAUCACGGGAGACACACGGCGGGUGCUAACGUCCGUCGUGAAGAGGGAAACAACCCAGACCGCCAGCUAAGGUCCCAAAGUCAUGGUUAAGUGGGAAACGAUGUGGGAAGGCACAGACAGCCAGGAUGUUGGCUUAGAAGCAGCCAUCAUUUAAAGAAAGCGUAAUAGCUCACUGGUCGAGUCGGCCUGCGCGGAAGAUGUAACGGGGCUAAACCAUGCACCGAAGCUGCGGCAGCGACACUAUGUGUUGUUGGGUAGGGGAGCGUUCUGUAAGCCGUUGAAGGUGUGCUGUGAGGCAUGCUGGAGGUAUCAGAAGUGCGAAUGCUGACAUAAGUAACGAUAAAGCGGGUGAAAAGCCCGCUCGCCGGAAGACCAAGGGUUCCUGUCCAACGUUAAUCGGGGCAGGGUGAGUCGACCCCUAAGGCGAGGCCGAAAGGCGUAGUCGAUGGGAAACAGGUUAAUAUUCCUGUACUUGGUGUUACUGCGAAGGGGGGACGGAGAAGGCUAUGUCAGCCGGGCGACGGUUGUCCCGGUUUAAGCGUGUAGGUGUGUGUUCCAGGCAAAUCCGGUUCACUUUAACACUGAGGCGUGAUGACGAGGCACUACGGUGCUGAAGUGAUAAAUGCCCUGCUUCCAGGAAAAGCCUCUAAGCAUCAGGUAACACGAAAUCGUACCCCAAACCGACACAGGUGGUCAGGUAGAGAAUACCAAGGCGCUUGAGAGAACUCGGGUGAAGGAACUAGGCAAAAUGGUGCCGUAACUUCGGGAGAAGGCACGCUGAUAUGUAGGUGAAGUCCCUGCGGACGGAGCUGAAAUCAGUCGAAGAUACCAGCUGGCUGCAACUGUUUAUUAAAAACACAGCACUGUGCAAACACGAAAGUGGACGUAUACGGUGUGACGCCUGCCCGGUGCCGGAAGGUUAAUUGAUGGGGUUAGCGGCAACGCGAAGCUCUUGAUCGAAGCCCCGGUAAACGGCGGCCGUAACUAUAACGGUCCUAAGGUAGCGAAAUUCCUUGUCGGGUAAGUUCCGACCUGCACGAAUGGCGUAAUGAUGGCCAGGCUGUCUCCACCCGAGACUCAGUGAAAUUGAACUCGCUGUGAAGAUGCAGUGUACCCGCGGCAAGACGGAAAGACCCCGUGAACCUUUACUAUAGCUUGACACUGAACACUGGUCCUUGAUGUGUAGGAUAGGUGGGAGGCUUUGAAGCGUGGACGCCAGUCUGCGUGGAGCCGUCCUUGAAAUACCACCCUUUAAUGGCUGGUGUUCUAACGUGGACCCGUGAUCCGGGUUGCGGACAGUGUCUGGUGGGUAGUUUGACUGGGGCGGUCUCCUCCCAAAGAGUAACGGAGGAGCACGAAGGUUAGCUAAUCCUGGUCGGACAUCAGGAGGUUAGUGCAAUGGCAUAAGCUAGCUUGACUGCGAGAGUGACGGCUCGAGCAGGUGCGAAAGCAGGUCAUAGUGAUCCGGUGGUUCUGAAUGGAAGGGCCAUCGCUCAACGGAUAAAAGGUACUCCGGGGAUAACAGGCUGAUACCGCCCAAGAGUUCAUAUCGACGGCGGUGUUUGGCACCUCGAUGUCGGCUCAUCACAUCCUGGGGCUGAAGUAGGUCCCAAGGGUAUGGCUGUUCGCCAUUUAAAGUGGUACGCGAGCUGGGUUUAGAACGUCGUGAGACAGUUCGGUCCCUAUCUGCCGUGGGCGCUGGAGAAUUGAGGGGGGCUGCUCCUAGUACGAGAGGACCGGAGUGGACGCAUCACUGGUGUUCGGGUUGUCAUGCCAAUGGCACUGCCCGGUAGCUAAAUGCGGAAGAGAUAAGUGCUGAAAGCAUCUAAGCACGAAACUUGCCCCGAGAUGAGUUCUCCCUGAGACUAUAAGUCUCCUGAAGGAACGUUGAAGACGACGACGUUGAUAGGCCGGGUGUGUAAGCGCAGCGAUGCGUUGAGCUAACCGGUACUAAUGAACCGUGAGGCUUAACCUU